AGUAAUAUUUCACCUUGGAUAUCUCUACUUCAACUCAGCUACAUGGGAAAACCAUGAAGGCCGUGCUACAGCUUAUUGAGAAAUUGCAGCCUUAAACCAUUGAAGUUGCAGGAAUGACACACAAAUGUGUCCUUGUGGCAAAACAAGGUUCAUAAAUACAUGGUUUGACACAUGUAUAUAGUGAGGAGGAACUUCUGUGGCUUGCACAGUCCUGAUCUUAACCCCACUGAACACCUCUGGGAUGAAGUGAAAUAUUGAUUAACAGUCAGAAUCCAGGACCAACAGACCAAAAACCCCUAUUGAGCAAGCUGAGGUCGACAGUGGCAAGGAAAAACUCCCUGAAAAUUACAGGAAGAAACCUUGAGAGGAACCAGACUUAGCAGGGACCCCCAUCCUUCUCGGGUGGCCUGGAGGAGUUCUUCAUUGUUUAGUCCAGUCUGUGAAAAAGUCCGUUGUAAGUUCUGGACAUUUUGGCACUUUACCAUCAGACAACAACAUUCACCACCAUAUACCAACACUCAUCAUUAAACAAAUGUUUUCAGGUACACACUAUCAUUUACUAACACACAUUCAUUCUUUAUUAAAUACCAACAUUUACAACUUAACAUCAGCCUUUACAAUCAAAUACCAAUACUCACUAUUAAAUACCAACAUUUACCAUCAAAUACCGAGUCACUGUCAUACCCCAACAUUCAUUAUGAAUCACCAAUAUGUACAAAUACCAAAUGUCACUGUGAAACACCAACAUUCAACAUUAUCAUGACAACCCAAAUAAACCAG